rnacentral:rRNA from 1 species
CCUACGGGGGGCAGCAGUGGGGAAUAUUGGACAAUGGGCGAAAGCCUGAUCCAGCCAUGCCGCGUGUGUGAAGAAGGCCUUCGGGUUGUAAAGCACUUUCAGUGGGGAAGAAAGCCUUGGGGCUAAUACCCUCGAGGAAGGACAUCACCCACAGAAGAAGCACCGGCUAACUCCGUGCCAGCAGCCGCGGUAAUACGGAGGGUGCGAGCGUUAAUCGGAAUUACUGGGCGUAAAGCGCGCGUAGGCGGUCUGAUAAGCCGGUUGUGAAAGCCCCGGGCUCAACCUGGGAACGGCAUCCGGAACUGUCAGGCUAGAGUGCAGGAGAGGAAGGUAGAAUUCCCGGUGUAGCGGUGAAAUGUGUAGAGAUCGGGAGGAAUACCAGUGGCGAAGGCGGCCUUCUGGACUGACACUGACGCUGAGGUGCGAAAGCGUGGGUAGCAAACAGGAUUAGAUACCCGAGUAGUC